rnacentral:pre_miRNA from 1 species
UAUAAGGGAUUUUGAGUUUUUUCUUGCAACAUUUGACCACUCGUCUUAUUCAAAAAAUUUUAAAAUUAUUAUUUAUUUUAUCUGUGACUUACUUUAUUAUCUACAAUACUUUAAGCAUAACUUUUUAUUUUUUAUAUUUAUAAAAAUAAUUUAAAUAAAACAAGCGGUCAAACGUUGCAAGCCAAAUCUCAACGAAGGGAGUAGA